rnacentral:tRNA from 1 species
GGGGAUUUAGCUCAGCGGUAGAGCGCUUGCCUAGCAAGCGCAAGGCUCUGGGUUCGAUCCCCAGCUCCG